GGUGGAAAGUGGCGCACGGGUGAGUAACGCGUAGGAAUUUACCCAGCAGUACGGAAUAACCAUCGGAAACGGUGGCUAAUACCGAAUACGCCCUCCGGGGGAAAGAUUUAUCGCUGUUGGAUGAGCCUGCGUCGGAUUAGCUUGUUGGUGAGGUAAAAGCUCACCAAGGCGACGAUCUUUAGCUGGUCUGAGAGGAUGAUCAGCAACACUGGGACUGAGACACGGCCCAGACUCC
rnacentral:rRNA from 1 species